GCGUCGUUAGCGCAAAAGGCAGCGCGUCAGUCUCAUAAUCUGAAUUUAGAAAUCUGAAGGUCGUGAGUUCGAUCCUCACACGGGGCA
rnacentral:tRNA from 1 species